rnacentral:lncRNA from 1 species
GGACUUUUAUAAGCACAAGCAUUAAAUUUGAUAUUACAUCCAAGUUUCAAGUUUCCUAAAAUGAAUCUUCAUGACUUAUUUUUUCUCUACUGUAGAAGGAGAGAGUGGUUGCAAAAUGUGCACAAGAACUGAAUUUGGUUCUCGAACAAUCAUAGCCUGCAUCCCUGUUUGGAAGAGUAGCUUAGCAUCUGCUUAGAAGGGAGAACAAUUUGUUGAGAUCAAGAAAGCUUAAAUUUUGCCUUGCUGGUCUACUUUUUGCCACUUCCUUCAAAGUUCCUGGAGGUCUACAUAGAAGAAUUUUGACUUUAAUGUUGUCUGAUGUUGCAUUCUCAUGGGAUGUGGAUGCCGUUGAAUAUAAUGCGUUUGUAUGGUCUCUCAAGUAUACAUGAGCAUGUAAUCGUCAUGGACAUAAACAAAAUGUAUACUAAUGUUUACUGCAAUGGUAUUAUGGGAUGCAAGGCCUCUUUCUUAAUUUAUAUAUACUUGGAAUUAUUGCUAAGUUGAGGUUAAAAAUCUCAAUGCCAGCCUUUCAAUUUUGUUUCUCAACUACUUGUUUUUCCUAAGACACUCAAGUCUCCUUUUGUUUCAAAAUUAACGAUUUCUGCAAAUGACCUCGAGUGAGUCCCAACACAACCACAAAACCUACAAUUGCACACAAAUUUAUUCAUCUAACCGUUGCUGCAAUGAAGCAUAGAAUUAUUCAUCUUAAAAUAGGUUCAAUCUAUUGCAAGGAUGUACCAUUACGUACUUGCAUUACAUAAUACGACCACCUAUUGAUGUUCACUAGUAGGCGUGGAUAACGGUCCUAUUGAUGACUGCUUAACAUGGUGACCAAAAGAAGUAUGUAGCCCUGGACAUUUCCGAUGCAUUCAUGGACUGAUUCACAUUUUGAGAGUUCCAAGAGUAAUGCAACUGCUAAUUUUCCUCCCCCAAUGCGACAUCCAAGAGACUUAGUAAUAGAUUCCAUGCCAUUGCCAACUCUAGCAAUUCUUACCUGUAAAAUACAUGAAAUUUCAAUUAAAUAUUUACUAUAUGUUCCUACUAUGUUGUCUUCUUCAAAGUAACCACAAAUAUCUAUGCUAUAUUUUACCUGAUAAGUUAAUCUUUUGUUAUUCUUUAAACCUGUAAGUUCUAAUAUAUAUAUAUAUAUAUAUAUAUAUUUUAAACAAUCUUCUAUUCGUGCUGAACCCAAAUAAAUUAUCAAAACUAACUUUUCAAAACCAAACUCAGAAACAAGAUUUCAGAAUUUUCUCGACAUCCCAGAAAAGGAGCAAGGACAAAUGGCAGAUUUUUAAACAUGUCUAGAUAUAUCUGAAAAUCCUCAAAUUUGAAAAGGAAUUCUUAAACUCCUGAAAGGUGUUCUAUUUGUUCAUUUCUUAUAUCACAAAAAAUAACAUAACAAUAAUUUCGACAAAAAAAAGAAAAAAAAAUCAUAGAUGGAGAAAUCACAUAGAGAACCCAAAUCUAGAAAAAUAAAAUCUUGAAGAUUCUAACCGGGAAAGAACUCGUGAACGGAAAUGGCCCAGCCAAGAGAGGUGGAGGUCUACAAAGCCGGG